GAUGAACGCUAGCUACAGGCUUAACACAUGCAAGUCGAGUGACCGGCGCACGGGUGAGUAACGCGUAUCCAACCUUCCCAUUACUUUGGGAUACCCUGCCGAAGGCAGACUAAUACCGCAUGGUAAUGUAUGGGGAUGCGUCUGAUUAGUUUGUUGGCGGGGUAACUGCCCACCAAGGCGACGAUCAGUAGGGGUGCUGAGAGGAAGUCCCCCUACAUGGGAACUGAGACACAGACCAAACUCGGACGGGAGGGAGGAGUGAGUAAUAUUAGGCAAUGGGCGAGGACCUGAACCAGCCAAGUAGCGUGCAGGGGGAUGGCCUAUGGGUGGUAAACUGCUUUUGUGUGGGGAUAGGUACCAUAAGAAUAAGGACCGGCUAAUUCCGUGCCAGCAGCCGCGGUAAUUC
rnacentral:rRNA from 1 species